UAUCCGGAAUUAUUGGGCGUAAAGGGCUCGUAGGCGGUUCGUCGCGUCCGGUGUGAAAGUCCAUCGCUUAACGGUGGAUCCGCGCCGGGUACGGGCGGGCUUGAGUGCGGUAGGGGAGACUGGAAUUCCCGGUGUAACGGUGGAAUGUGUAGAUAUCGGGAAGAACACCAAUGGCGAAGGCAGGUCUCUGGGCCGUCACUGACGCUGAGGAGCGAAAGCGUGGGGAGCGAACAGGAUUAGAUACCCUGGUAGUCCACGCCGUAAACGGUGGAUGCUGGAUGUGGGGACCAUUCCGCGGUCUCCGGUGUCG
rnacentral:rRNA from 1 species